rnacentral:rRNA from 1 species
GACGAACGCUGGCGGCGUGCUUAACACAUGCAAGUCGAACGGAAAGGCCCUGCUUUUGUGGGGUGCUCGAGUGGCGAACGGGUGAGUAACACGUGAGUAACCUGCCCUUGACUUUGGGAUAACUUCAGGAAACUGGGGCUAAUACCGGAUAGGAGCUCCUGCUGCAUGGUGGGGGUUGGAAAGUUUCGGCGGUUGGGGAUGGACUCGCGGCUUAUCAGCUUGUUGGUGGGGUAGUGGCUUACCAAGGCUUUGACGGGUAGCCGGCCUGAGAGGGUGACCGGCCACAUUGGGACUGAGAUACGGCCCAGACUCCUACGGGAGGCAGCAGUGGGGAAUAUUGCACAAUGGGCGGAAACCUGAUGCAGCAACGCCGCGUGCGGGAUGACGGCCUUCGGGUUGUAAACCGCUUUCGCCUGUGACGAAGCGUGAGUGACGGUAAUGGGUAAAGAAGCACCGGCUAACUACGU